rnacentral:misc_RNA from 1 species
CUGCUUUUGAAUUUCCUUGUGGGAGAUUCAAGUUCAUUUAGGGAAAUAGAAAUUACUUAACAAGUACAUAUUUCCUCUGACAUUGAGUGAAUAUCCCAGGAGACCGCUGCUUUUCUGGUGGAUUGUUAGGUUCUGAUGGGAAUUACCGGCACUUGGGAAAGUGGUGUAAGAGAAAGUAAACGACUAGGAUCUGGAUUGCUGUCUUGAUGCAAGGAUCAGG